rnacentral:lncRNA from 1 species
AUUGCAUCUUGAGUUCUGUAUCACAGAGAAGAAAGCACAAUUCUUAGUAGCUCUCAAGGUUAUGGAGACAACACAUUCUAUACAAUGGGAAAACUGCUCUGUCCCAUCCAUGCGGUGAAUGAGGACUAGGUCAGGAAGGUGUUCUGCAAGCAUUGGAAUAAAUAACAGAAGGAAUAUACUAUAUAGAUAUAAAUCAUCAUCCUGUGCAAACAUUACUUAAACUCAGCUCUGUCAAGAGAAGAGUUCCCAAGUCAAAUACAUCAAUAGUAGCAGGUAAGAGUUGAUUAAAUGUGUAGUAGAAAUACUAAGUUUGUACCUGUCCACCUGAUGUAACCUCACUGGUUAAACUCAUCUCACUGAUGAGACAGGGAGAAUCACAACUCCCAGUGGACACAUUCUCUGAGCGUCAAAUAUCCAUUCUGAUUUGGAAUCUUGUUUUCAAG